rnacentral:rRNA from 1 species
UACGUAGGUGGCGAGCGUGUCCGGAUUUAUUGGGUUUAAAGGGUGUGUAGGCGGAUUAUUAAGUCAGUGGUGAAAUCUCCGGGCUCAACCCGGAAACUGCCAUUGAUACUAUUAGUCUUGAAUUCUGUUGAGGUGGGCGGAAUAUGUCAUGUAGCGGUGAAAUGCUUAGAUAUGACAUAGAACACCGAUUGCGAAGGCAGCUCACUAAGCAGAUAUUGACGCUGAGGCACGAAAGCGUGGGGAUCAAACAGG